CCCUCUAUAUAAAGGGGCUUGGCAGCCCACUCCCUCCUCACUUGCUCUCAUUUCCCACUCUCCACUCCUCUCCACUCCUCUCCUUUGCCUCAUUUCUUUUCACUCCCUACUAUUUCCUCCACUCCCUCACACUCUCCUCCUCCACUUCCCCACGAAAAUGGUGCUCCCCUUGCUCCCAUGGCCGGCCAUAGCCAUGGCAAGCCACCAAGAUGAAGCUCUCCCCCUCCCUCAAACUCAUCCUCACCAUGAGAGCCUCCCUCUCCUUCUUCUCCCUAACCUUAGAUGGUUUAAUCUCCUCUUCUUCUCCCUCCAUUGCUAAGAUUGGAUCUUGAUGCAGGUGCAUGUUGGUCCAAGCAUGGAGAAGGUUGAGCUAUCCUCAGAUCUGAAGUUCUUGAGCAAAGUUCGUCCAAAACCUUGCAGUAAUUUCUGUUUCUUGCUGUUUCAGAUUCUGGUACGAUCUUGUAAAAUCCGCCAAAUCUCGUGUGCAGAUCCAAAUCGAGUGGUUCAAAGUUCUGCAGAUAGGGGAUGUUUGGUUUAUACCAUGGUGAUAACCGAGAGAGGCAAUUGCUAAGUUGUGAUGCACUCAUACCUCUACUAGAUGCGAACAAUUCCGGAGAAGAAGAAGAAGUGGAAUCGGACAAGGAUUUUAUUUGUACUUGUGGGAAUUCUUAUUUUGAUGGAGUUGAAGAAGUACAGGGACAAAUAAGCCAAGGCAAGCCAUUUACUUUGACUCUUUAUAUCCAUGUUCUUGGUUGAGAUCUUUCUAUCCUUGGUCUCUUGCUUUCUUGCGUCUCCUUGGGUUUGCUUAAUUUGAUUCUUUUACAUACUUGCCACCAAGUGUGUAAUGUCCCCUCUCGAUAUUUUGCUUACUUACUCUAAGUAUGUGAAUCACAUUCCCCACCUUUUGACACCCUAAUUCUAGUAAAAACUUGGGAUUAUAUCAUUAAAAUUGCUCUACUUUUUGAUCAUCUCCAUUCAUGCUCAAUUGGAGUAUGGAUGACCUUGACACCCCUUCAUGUUAUGAUGGCAAUCAUUAUACUAUUAUACAUCUUAGUCACGCAUAAACUUUAGGCUGGGAAAACCCUCAAGGUUUUACCUUGUUGUAAAAGUUUUUUUGUUAAAACCUUGGGUAUAAUGUUAUGCCCAAGUGAGAAUUUGAUAAAGGAAAGGAUUUGGUAAAAAUGAUGGGGAUGAGAAAGUGGUUGGGAUAUUACGAAAACUUUGGCGCCUAAGUACUCACCCAUGACAACAAACUAGCGCAACCACAUUACUCCAACAUGGGCACGGGGCUUAGCUCGACGUUCGUUCUCUUUAGCAUGAGGCACCGCAUAACUAUACAAGGGUACGGAUACCCCCGAGUCCGGAUUGUCGAGGUUGGGACAAUAGUAUAACGGGAGGCCUUCGGGGCUGAC